rnacentral:RNase_P_RNA from 2 species
AAGGAAAGGCAGAUAGUCGCUUUUUUAAAGAGGAAAGUCCGGACAUUACAGGAGAAGAUGCCAGAGAAAUCCUGGGAGCUGAAAGGCUACGGAAAGUGCAACAGAGACUACAACAUGUUUAUACAUGGGUGAAAAGAUUUUAUAAAUGGUAUUUGGAGAAAUCCAAAGCGUUGCAAACCCCAUCUAAUGCAAGAAAAUUUGAGAUAAGAUCUCCUCUUGAUAUCUCAAGGUGAACGCUUAAAAAACUUAGUGAUAAGUUUUUAAGACGAAUGACUAUCAAAUACAGAAUCCGGCUUACAGCCUUUCCUAUUUU